rnacentral:rRNA from 1 species
CCUACGGGAGGCAGCAGUGGGGAAUAUUGCACAAUGGGGGAAACCCUGAUGCAGCGACGCCGCGUGAGUGAAGAAGUAUUUCGGUAUGUAAAGCUCUAUCAGCAGGGAAGAAAAUGACGGUACCUGAUUAAGAAGCCCCGGCUAACUACGUGCCAGCAGCCGCGGUCAUACGUAGGGGGCAAGCGUUCUACGGAUUUACUGGGUGUAAAGGGAGCGUAGACGGCAGCGCAAGUCUGAAGUGAAAUGCCGGGGCUUAACCCCGGAACUGCUUUGGAAACUGUGCAGCUAGAGUGCAGGAGAGGUAAGUGGAAUUCCUAGUGUAGCGGUGAAAUGCGUAGAUAUUAGGAGGAACACCAGUGGCGAAGGCGGCUUACUGGACUGUAACUGACGUUGAGGUUCGAAAGCGUGGGGAGCAAACAGGAUUAGAUACCCCAGUAGUC